CAGCCGCCCGGUAAUACGUAGGGUGCGAGCGUUAAUCGGAAUUACUGGGCGUAAAGCGUGCGCAGGCGGUUGUGUAAGACAGGUGUGAAAUCCCCGGGCUUAACCUGGGAACUGCGCUUGUGACUGCACAGCUAGAGUAUGGCAGAGGGGGGUGGAAUUCCACGUGUAGCAGUGAAAUGCGUAGAGAUGUGGAGGAACACCGAUGGCGAAGGCAGCCCCCUGGGCCAAUACUGACGCUCAUGCACGAAAGCGUGGGGAGCAAACAGGAUUAGAUACCCGAGUAGUCCCUGUCUCUUAACAC
rnacentral:rRNA from 1 species